GGUCACAAACCCCAAAAUAACUACUCCAAAAUGUAUUUCUUUAUUUUUAAAUCAUAUCUCCUCAUAAAUGUAUCCACGGUGAAUAUUUCCUCGUCUGCCCAAAGCUCAUUCCUGAGUGAGCUGUACUCAUUUAAAAAUAGUUGCCAGGCUGUUUGUUUCAUCCAUGUGAUACUCGACACCACAGGAUCUCGUAGACCUGCACGUCAGCUCCGAGCCCCCCGUUCUGUCCCCCCAUGAUGGAAACUCUCUCUGGGACUGCUCCUCUAUUUCUGUUUGCGCCGCGGCCCGAAACCGGCGCCCGAGCGAGGGUCCCCAACCGAACUUCAUAGAGGACUUGGUUUAGAGGGUGACGACGGUACGGCCAGUGAGGGGGUAAGGCAGGACUCCCUCCAAGGCCUGUUUUGCGGAGGGUGGGAGUUUGGAAUCACUGGAAGGCCUAAAAGAUGGAAUAUUACCUUGGAAGGUGCACCAUGGCAGCACAGGUGUAGAGCUUAGAUGUGCUUUAAAUACUUCUGGAUGCCUUCCAGGGAAUUUUCAAGAUUUGUUCGGAUGAAGCACAACUGAGAUGCACGGCUAUUUAAUAGCUGGGACAUUGAAGGCGGGGUUCUUAAGAUCUGCAAAGAAACAUUGUAUGAGUUGCUGAGGUGACAGUUGGAGUGAACGACUCAGCUCACUGUUGGCGAGCCUGCA